UGAACGCUGGCGGUAGGCCUAACACAUGCAAGUCGAACGGCAGCACAGUAAGAGCUUGCUCUUACGGGUGGCGAGUGGCGGACGGGUGAGGAAUACAUCGGAAUCUACUUUUUCGUGGGGGAUAACGUAGGGAAACUUACGCUAAUACCGCAUACGACCUACGGGUGAAAGCAGGGGAUCUUCGGACCUUGCGCGAUUGAAUGAGCCGAUGUCGGAUUAGCUAGUUGGCGGGGUAAAGGCCCACCAAGGCGACGAUCCGUAGCUGGUCUGAGAGGAUGAUCAGCCACACUGGAACUGAGACACGGUCCAGACUCCUACGGGAGGCAGCAGUGGGGAAUAUUGGACAAUGGGCGCAAGCCUGAUCCAGCCAUACCGCGUGGGUGAAGAAGGCCCUCGGGUUGUAAAGCCCUUUUGUUGGGAAAGAAAAGCAGCAGGUUAAUACCCCGCUGUUCUGACGGUACCCAAAGAAUAAGCACCGGCUAACUUCGUG
rnacentral:rRNA from 1 species